rnacentral:rRNA from 1 species
GAGUUGUAAUUUGAAGAGGCGUUUUCUGAGGUUCUGAUCAGUCCAAGUCCUUUGGGAUAAGGCAUCACGGAGGGUGAGAAUCCCGUUCGGUUGAUCAGAUCUUCUUUACGAUACGUCAUCAAAGAGUCAAGUUGUUUGGGAAUGCAGCUUAAAAUGGGAGGUAAAUUUCUCCUAAGGCUAAAUAACGGCGAGAGACCGAUAGCGAACAAGUACCGUGAGGGAAAGAUGAAAAGAACUUUGAAAAGAGAGUUAAAUAGUACGUGAAAUUGUUGAAAGGGAAACGAUUGAAGCCAGUCGUACCGGCGGGUAAUCAGCCUUUUGGGUGUGAUUAUGUGGAGCGUGAGGAGCUAAUCGCCUUCAUCUUUGCAUAUUCGUGCACUUUGGGUGUACUUGCUCGUGUGGUAGGUUAACAUCAAUUUUGAUCAUCAUAAAAUGAUUGAAGGAAUGUAGCUUCGAUCUCGUAUUGAAGUGUUAUAGCCUUUGGUAGAUGUGAUAAUCGGGAUUGAGGAUUGCAACGGAUACCCUUCGGGGCUACCCGUCUGAUCUCUGAAAGUUGCUCUGGUGCUGAAAGCUUGCUU